rnacentral:lncRNA from 1 species
GUCGUUUAUUUGCUUAAGCAGGGACUCUCAACUGUCACCCACACAGCGGAUCGAGAUUGAGAGCCCUGAGUCCCUAACUAGCAGGGUUUUUAUUGAGACUACAACAAGCUUUGGUUAUUAGUAGCCAGGUGAUUGGUUAAUACUCAAUACAUAUGAAGUGUAGGGUUUUGGUUGGCUAGGCUUUGGGGGCCGAAGGGGAUUAUGUAUUGGUUUUUGUGAGGGAGAAAAGGGGCAAAGAUUAACGGCCGGUUGUUACAUACUGAUCGUUAGCAGACCCACUAAUGGCCGCAUCUAUCUUGUGUGGACAGUCAGCUCACUAACUGCUUAUCCUACAGAUAGUGUACCUGGAACGCUCUCUCCCCGGGUACACAGGUGGUUGGGUAAUAAACUCAGGAAUUUCAAGUGGUGAAUUCCUAGUUUAAGCACAAAUUUGAGAGAACAAAGGAGACGGCUCCAAAAUGGAGUCAUUUUGGUCCCACAAGUAAUUUCAGCAGAGAUGGAAACUAUAAGAGAGAACCAGACGGAAAUACUCCAAACAAAACACAGCAGUGGAGAUGGAAGUGCCUGAGUGUGCCGCAGACUCAACACAGCUGAGGGAGGAAUCAGCAAAUGUGAAGAUAGAGCACUACUCAGAAGCAAGAACCAAACUGGAACGCUUGUGCACGCAUGCACUGCACCCACGCACCAGGAGCUGGGGAAAGAAACCCAGCACCCAAGCCAGAAGAGAAGACAGGGAGAAGAUGCUCUCUAGAGAAACAAGGGCCACAUUGUUUUUGAAGUUGAUGGCAAACAGCAAACAGAGUUAGGAAAAUCCGUGAACACCACAUAGGACGCACACCAAGAACAGCUGAAUGUGGGAAGGCCUGGUGCAAAGCUCUCGAAGGAGUCUUGAGGGAACACACACACACAUGCACACGUGUGCAUGCGCACACACACAUGCACACACAGUAUCAAGGAUGUGAGAACCACAGAGUCUUCUGUAAAUCACUGAAAAGCAAAGCAGAGCUGUCAGCCCAGAGCACGACAGCCAGCAAAAUCACCCACGGAGCACAAGGAAGUCUUUCUCAGAUGAACAAAAGCUGAGAAUCAUCGCCCUCCUACCUGCUCCGUAAGACCUGCCGGAGGAAGUUCUUCGGGGGUGGGGACCUGGUGUCAGCAGGGCCCCAGGCCACACAGGCAGCAGAGUGCUGGAGCCAGCUGAGUGGUUUC